UAUUCAAGAUGCUGCGCAGUUCGAAGGCAGAGAUCUCUGCAUCCUGUGGAAAAGAGGAAACAAAUUUCUCACCCUGAGCUCCUCCAGAGAAGACCCUGAGGCAGAAGUCUCCGUUCUUGUCGGGCUCAAAGGUGGAGGGCACGAUGAUGUAUUCCCCUGCAGGCAGCUUGAAGCGGUUCAGCACCUCCCGGAGGUUGAUGAAGUCCUGUCAGCCUUCCUUGCCUCGUAAAUGGCAAAGCCAAUGGUGUGCAUGUCCUCGCCCAUCUUCCUCUGCUUGCGACGGUG